rnacentral:rRNA from 1 species
GACGAACGCUGGCGGCGUGCUUAACACAUGCAAGUCGAACGGAGUGGCGGACGGGUGAGUAACGCGUAGUCAACCUGCCCUUCAGAGGGGGACACCAGUUGGAAACGACUGCUAAUACGGCAUACUGAAGGAGUGGAUUGCGUGUGAUUAGCUAGUUGGUGGGGUAACGGCCCACCAAGCCGAGGAUCCGUAACUGGUCUGAGAGGAUGAUCAGCCACACUGGAACUGAGACACGGUCCAGACUCCUACGGGAGGCAGCAGUGGGGAAUAUUGGACAAUGGGCGAAAGCCUGAUGCAGCCAUGCCGCGUGUGUGAAGAAGGUCUUCGGAUUGUAAAGCACUUUAAGUUGGGAGGCGUUACCAACAGAAUAAGCACCGGCUAACUUCGUGCCAGCAGCCGCGGUAAUAC